rnacentral:rRNA from 1 species
GGAGGAAGCCCCGGCUAACUACGGGCCAGCAGCCGCGGUAAUACGUAGGGGGCUAGCGUUAUCCGGAUUUACUGGGCGUAAAGGGUGCGUAGGCGGUCUUUCAAGGCAGGAGUGAAAGGCUACGGCUCAACCGUAGUAAGCUCUUGAAACUGGGAGACUUGAGUGCAGGAGAGGAGAGUGGAAUUCCUAGUGUAGCGGUGAAAUGCGUAGAUAUUAGGAGGAACACCAGUUGCGAAGGCGGCUCUCUGGACUGU